GGGUUUGCCCAGCUCCAGCCGUCCUGUGGCAUGGAGGUGGGCCUGAAUCAGCCAUUUAGGAGCCUUGCUUGCAGGGAUGUGUGGCAGGACUGUCUGUGCAGGCUAUGCAAAGCUGGCUGUCUGCCUCAGGUGUUUUUCUCUAGGGCACCCUUAUGCAGUCAAGCUGUUCACAAAGCACCUGUGGUGGAACAUGCCAGAAAAGCCCGUGUUUUGCAAGUGCAGGUGGCCUGAAGAUAGCUGUUACAGCUGGGUAUGCACUUAGUGGGGCAGGCUGUGAGCUCAGGUGCUGUGUCCUGGCUAUUGCAGGCUUGAGACAUAAAGAAGUGAGGCAGGAAACAGGUGAGCCAGGAGCACUUCGGGCCAUGACCAUGAGAUGAGACAUCUUUCUGGUGAACCCUGAAGUGGGAGAAUGGUCAUUAACAAACACGUUAGGGUCAGAACUACUGAAGGGCAUCUGUGUGGUAGUAGGUGGGGGAACAUGACUUUGGGUCCUGUGCUAAAGAAAAAGCCUUGAGGUUCAAAGUAGCAUAGGAUAUUCAGCUAUCCUCUGUAGACAACAAUGUUUGAUAGUUCUUCUUUGUUUUACUAAAGAUUAGGAUCUGAAAAGGCCUGCUCAUCUUGCAUUUGCCAUAGUAACGUGUUUAUGGAUGGCACCUGUGCAGGUGGAGCAUUGCUAGGGCAGGAAUGCCCAUACCUUUUAUAAGAAGAACUGAGACGCAAGCAACUCAAGCUAGUGCUGCAUCUUUAUCCUUACACACACAUGCACCAUUGAUAUUGGACUUACUGAUGGUUUCUGGGAUCUCUUGUUUGUUAUUUCAAGUGUCACACCACAGUGGAGCGGCACAAAUGGACGGACCCUGGAGAGACACAUUACGCUGGCAUAUCCAACUUGAUUGUGCUCACAGUUUUCCUGAGAGGCAGUGGCUUGCUGACUUGGACUCUUACAGAUGAGAAGAAGUGGAGAGCAGCUCCUUGCGUGGUACAGACUACAGACGAGGAUGGCUGCAGCUGCAGUGCUGGCAGUUCCCAUCUGGAUGAACAGUCUGCUCCCUUGUGCUGGGGGCACAAACUGCAUGUUUGCAGGGUUCAAGGAGCUCACAUGGGCAUCUGAGCCAGAGCCUCAGCUGGGAAAAUUGCUCUUUCAGAAUGGGUCACGUGGGGCAACACCACCCCCUUUUAGGGGCGAUACUCAGCUUCUGGGAAAGCAGCUGCUGAAGUACACUGAAUGCGUGCUGCCAUAGUGCUCAUGUUUAAUGCCUUGUGCUGUUGCAAACUUCAGGCCUGCAGAAACCCCAUUGUUUAUUGAUGGGAGAGGCCCCACCCCAGCUGUAAUUAAAGCCAAACUCAUGUCAUAAAUUUGCUGGCAUCCCAAGUGAAGCUGGUGUUCCCUGAGAAUGAAGGUUAUCUCUUUCUUUUGCUGCUGUUCCUUUGAACUUCCUGUGGUCAGGGAAUCCUAGUGUUUUAAACUAGAAAAACAAUUAUGAAACCAUCCCUGCUCAUCUGGCCAGAGUUCAUGUCUAAUUAAAUUUAACAGGAGUCAUAAUUUUAAGAGUGAUUUCUCAAAAGCUUUAUAACUAAAGACAAUUAAGGCUUGAGAGAGAGAGCGCGAGACAGGGAGGGGAGAAAAACAGAGGCACUCCUUGGGGCAGGGCACUCCAUGAGUAUUAAACAGCCGUGACUCAUUCCUGCCUCUAGUCCCAGCAGAAGAAAUACCUUUUGAAUAGGUUCUGCCUGCUAGAUAAAAACUUGUUUGCUGGUGCAAAAAUCAUACAGUGCAUGUUAGAACAAGAACCUUGAUGGGCUAUUCCCAUUAAAAUAAUUACACAGAAAUGGACUUUUUUUUUCCGAUCUGUUAGUAUAAAUUGGGUGCUUUUUUUUUUUAAUUAUUAUUUUUUAGCUGUGUCAAGGUCUGCAAAAAGAGGGGAGAAAGGGGAAGGAAAUGCAGACCAAAAAAAUGAAUGAAUUAACUCAGUUGUCCUUGUGGAGCAGGAUGUUUUUAUUUUUAUUAUGUAUGAAAUGUAUAGUAGUAUGUAUGGAACAAAUCCAUCAGCCCAUUUGACAGGCAAAACCUGAACUUUUUGAGGACAUGUGAAGCUAGAAAGGAGACUGCAGCAACGUAGAACACCACCAUGGGGGGAACUCUAGCUCUUACUUGUGUAUUUAUUCUAAAGCAGCUCUGUAUGCAGUACUGAAGCCUGACAGGCAUCCUCUGAAUCCAGGGAAUCCCACAGGCUUCUCAGAAGCGAUGAAACAGAGGACAGUGUCUCUACAUGUGAAGGACCCAGCCUUCCAUGAACAUUCAGAAAAUCAGGUUUUAUGACAGAGGAUUGUAGGGAAACCUCCUGCUGGUACUAUGGGGUGAUGUGAGGAUUGUAGAGGAAACAGUGUUUUCACCACAAAAUUGGCUCAGAGCAAGGUAGGUUGGAGCAGUGGUUAAAACGGAGCCAGCCAGCCGACACAGGUGUACCGUCAUUACGGUGUUGGUGGAGACGGGCUGAUGCUACAGCAGCAUUGGAAUGCUUCGAUGGGAGGCCUCAAGGCCUGCUCUGCACCUACGCAGGGUGCUGCAGGCCUGUCGUGCUCCUCGUAAACUCACUCCGGCAGCUGUGUCCACACUGGGGACAUGAGAUCCUUACAGAGGGUGGGGAGGCGGCGGCAGGACGGAUUGCUGACAUCAUGCGUCCCUUCCGUGAUUAUCAUCUGCCAGGCGGAGCGUGCCCACACUGCAGCUGAGGUGCACCUGCAACAGGGGUGGACUCGGCUGGGCUGCUUUCAACGGAGCCAGCUUGGGUGGUAAUGACAGCGUGACGACAGCAGCGCAACAUCAGCACGGAGCUGCCCCAGCCUGCUCGGGACCUUGGAAGCAUAUUUUGGUCACCGACCACGCUAACUCCUUGCUGCUGGAGUUUUGCUGCUCCUGGUAUCUGUUCGGAGCUAACGCACAGCUCCUGAAUGAGCCCACAGCUGGGCAGUCAACCCCAGACAGAGGAUCUAGUAAUGGUCCAGUGCAACCACGUGUGGGCCCUGCCUCUUUCUGGUAGUCAUCUAGCCAGAAAAGAAACACAUGUUCUCCCUUUAAAAUAGGACCAGUUGUGGUAUAUCUGCAGGUUUCUUUGAUCACCUCCUUGCAGUACUGUUUUUUCCCUUCCUGAAAAAUCAAAGGUUUCAGCCAUUCAGUGCUGUAGGUCCUCUGCCUGCUCAGCAGCUUCCCAUGGAGCAGCUUUCCAGCUGCCCUGUAAAAAAAAAAAAAAAAAAAAGCUUCAUCUAUUCUAGAUGAA